rnacentral:lncRNA from 1 species
CGAAGUCAUAGUCAUGAACAUGACUAAGGCUAUCGCCUUAAGGUCUCUCAGGUGUAGCUAAAAGGACUUCUGAGGACUGAUGACAUGAAUUUCAUGACAUGCGUGUCAUGUAGGUGAUGAAACAGCCGCCUUCGUCUUGGUGUUC